UCAACUGCUGAAGGACAAAAUCAAGUCCCAACCUACAUUUCUUCUUAUUCAAGUUGUUUCACUUGGAUAUAUGUCACAAUAAGGAAGUAAAGACUAUCGCAAUUUCUAUUUCACACCAACUUUAAGGUACUACAGCUUUUAGGGAGAAAUAAGGUACAAAAAUGUCUCUUUAAUAGUACUGCCACAGUAACAAUCCGUAAGUCAAUUUUUGCACAUUGCUUUUUCUGAGAGUGUGCCUUGUAUUAUAAUGCAUUGAUAAGCAGAUCCAUCACAUGACCUGAUAUUGUCCUCUAAAACUUAAAGAUUUAUUCUAUUUUGGCAUUGCAUGUACAUGAUUAUUUUGUUGUUGUUGAACUAACCUACACAUUUUCUCUUCAAAAGGUUCAGUAUGAACAGUAUCUGGAAGAGAACUUCCCACAAUGGCAGCAAAGACUCAAAAGACAUAAGAGUUUCUGAAAACUCAAAGUUGCUUUUUAUGGGAAGGUCAUUUCUUUUAAAAGGUGUCAUGACAAACAUGAACAAAACUCAGGUACUACAGCACUUAAAGAACAAUAUUCAGCAGAAGUCUGACUUUAGAGGCAAUCUUCUGUCCUCCAAUUUUCCAGAACCAUCUCAGCCUUCUCAUAUAUGCUAAACACUCAUCAGACAGGGAAAGCUCUUCCACUAUAUCACAAGACACUUAAGAUAGCCACUCUGACACAAAAAUCAGCAAAACACAUCAAAAACAUCUAAGAAGUGUAACAGCAAAGAAUCCAUUAUCACUG
ensembl:lncRNA